rnacentral:rRNA from 1 species
UACAGAGGGUGCGAGCGUUAAUCGGAGUUACUGGGCGUAAAGGGCGCGUAGGUGGUUUAGUAAGUGAGAUGUGAAAUCCCUGGGCUUAACCUAGGAACUGCAUCUUAUACUGUUAGACUAGAGUACUGUAGAGGGUAGUGGAAUUUCCGGUGUAGCGGUGAAAUGCGUAGAGAUCGGAAGGAACACCAGUGGCGAAGGCGGCUACCUGGACAGAUACUGACGCUGAGGCGCGAGAGCGUGGGGAGCAAACAGG